GAGUUUGAUCGUGGCUCAGAGCGAACGCUGGCGGCAGGCCUAACACAUGCAAGUCGAACGAACUCUUCGGAGUUAGUGGCGGACGGGUGAGUAACACGUGGGAACGUGCCUUUUGGUUCGGAAUAACUCAGGGAAACUUGUGCUAAUACCGAAUGUGCCCUUCGGGGGAAAGAUUUAUCGCCAUUAGAGCGGCCCGCGUCUGAUUAGCUAGUUGGUGAGGUAAAGGCUCACCAAGGCGACGAUCAGUAGCUGGUCUGAGAGGAUGAUCAGCCACAUUGGGACUGAGACACGGCCCAAACUCCUACGGGAGGCAGCAGUGGGGAAGUCUUGCGCAAUGGGCGAAAGCCUGACGCAGCCAUGCCGCGUGAAUGAUGAAGGUCUUAGGAUUGUAAAAUUCUUUCACCGGGACGAUAAUGACGGUACCCGGAGAAGAAGCCCGGCUAACUUCGUGCCAGCAGCCG
rnacentral:rRNA from 1 species